GCACAAUGAACGAUUAGAUAAUCCAAGGUGUGUGGUGUGUAGCAAUUAUUAAUAGGUAUGGAAGUGUGACUAGAAUUUAAUCUGAUUAAUUACUUUUAGGUAAGAGCUUCCCAUAUUGCCUAGGCUGUAUUCGAAGUUGUAGAGUCAAGUAACCAAUCUGCUUCUGCACCCCAGGCAGCUACCAUGUUUGGUUCUGAUUUUUAAUCUAUAGAUCUGUAGAGAAAAGGCACACUAAAAUAGAAAAGGUUGUUCAAGCUUCUAUUAAACUCACUGCCUUCCAUACAUCACAGGAAUAGGAUUCUAUUCACUUUCUGCUAUUUGAGACAGGUACCACUGUGGACAGCUCGAAAUUUGGAAUCCUCCUGCCUCAGCUUCCCAGCAUCCCCCAACCCCUUCUAUGGCUCCAAGAAAAGAGCAGGUUGAAGUGGUCUGAAGGAAGGAAUGGGCACGGAAACACAGCUGCAACGGAUUCUUCUGUCCUUAGCAUGUAGGAUGCUACUUGACACAAAAUAUUUUCAAAAAGAAGGGAUAAGAAGAACUGAUAGAAAAAUGCUGAUGAGAAGAGAGGCUUCUGAGAGCAGAGAAAACCACACCGCAGAGGACCGAACUAACAAAAAAAAAAAAAUGCUAUCUGGGUGCAUCCUGCGACUAAAAUCGUCAUUCACUGAACUAAAAACAAGGGACCCGGUAUGGGCAAACAGGAGCAUUCAAGACCUAACACCUUCAUCAUCGGCUAAAGAGCACUGUGCUAGAAUUUGGG
rnacentral:lncRNA from 1 species